AUUGAACGCUGGCGGCAGGCCUAACACAUGCAAGUCGAACGGUAACAGGAAGAAGCUUGCUUCUUUGCUGACGAGUGGCGGACGGGUGAGUAAUGUCUGGGAAACUGCCUGAUGGAGGGGGAUAACUACUGGAAACGGUAGCUAAUACCGCAUAACGUCGCAAGACCAAAGAGGGGGACCUUCGGGCCUCUUGCCAUCGGAUGUGCCCAGAUGGGAUUAGCUAGUAGGUGGGGUAACGGCUCACCUAGGCGACGAUCCCUAGCUGGUCUGAGAGGAUGACCCGCCACACUGGAACUGAGACACGGUCCAGACUCCUACGGGAGGCAGCAGUGGGGAAUAUUGCACAAUGGGCGCAAGCCUGAUGCAGCCAAGCCGCGUGUAUGAAGAAGGCCUUCGGGUUGUAAAGUACUUUCAGCGGGGAGGAAGGGAGUAAAGUUAAUACCUUUGCUCAUUGACGUUACCCGCAGAAGAAGCACCGGCUAACUCCGUG
rnacentral:rRNA from 1 species